rnacentral:rRNA from 1 species
UACGUAGGGCGCAAGCGUUAUCCGGAAUUAUUGGGCGUAAAGAGCUCGUAGGCGGUUUGUCGCGUCUGCCGUGAAAGUCCGGGGCUCAACUCCGGAUCUGCGGUGGGUACGGGCAGACUAGAGUGGAUGUAGGGGAGACUGGAAUUCCUGGUGUAGCGGUGAAAUGCGCAGAUAUCAGGAGGAACACCGAUGGCGAAGGCAGGUCUCUGGGCAUUAACUGACGCUGAGGCGCGAAAGCGUGGGGAGCAAACGGG